AUGAACAUAAGAUUUCGAGAG
ensembl:piRNA 21ur-507 ncRNA